rnacentral:rRNA from 1 species
GACGACCGCUGGCGGCGUGCUUAACCCAUGCAAGUCGAACGAAGUGGCGAACGGGUGAGUAUCGCGUAAUCAACCUGCCCUUCCGAGGGGGAACACAGUUGGAAACGACUGCUAAUACCGCAUACUGAAGGAGGGGAUUGCGUCUGCUUAGCUCGUUGGAGGGGUAACGGCCCACCAAGGCGAUGAUCAGUAGCCGGUCUGAGAGGAUGAACGGCCACAUCGGGACUGAGAAACGGGCCAGAUCCCUACGGGAGGCAGCAGUGGGGAAUUUUCCGCAAUGGAAGAAAGUCUGACGGAGCAACGCCGCGUGAGUGAUGACGGCCUUCGGGUUGUAAAGCUCUGUUAAUCGGGACGCGGUACCGGAAUAGAAAGCCACGGCUAACUACGUGCCAGCAGCCGCGGUAAUAC